CGCGGCGGAGGGGGUUGGAGGCGGAAGUGGCGGCGCCGGGCCCCGGGAGUAGGAAGGAGCCGGGGCUGCAGCCGGAGUGGAGCGGCUGCCAGCCGAGGAACAGGCGCGGCCGCGGCGCCAUAUUGCGGCCCCCAGCGGCCGCGACCGAGUCAUGGCCGAGACCUACGACUUCCUCUUCAAAUUCCUGGUGAUUGGCAGUGCAGGCACCGGCAAAUCAUGUCUCCUUCAUCAGUUCAUUGAGAAUAAGUUCAAACAGGACUCCAACCACACGAUCGGCGUGGAGUUUGGAUCCCGGGUGGUCAACGUGGGUGGGAAGACUGUGAAGCUACAGAUUUGGGACACAGCUGGCCAGGAGCGGUUUCGGUCGGUGACACGGAGUUACUACCGAGGGGCAGCUGGAGCCCUGCUGGUGUACGACAUCACCAGCCGGGAGACUUACAACUCGCUGGCUGCCUGGCUGACGGACGCCCGCACGCUGGCCAGCCCCAACAUCGUGGUCAUCCUCUGUGGCAACAAGAAGGACCUGGACCCGGAGCGUGAGGUCACUUUCCUGGAGGCCUCCCGCUUUGCCCAGGAGAACGAGCUAAUGUUCCUGGAAACCAGCGCUCUCACUGGCGAGAACGUGGAAGAGGCUUUCCUGAAGUGUGCUCGCACCAUCCUGAACAAGAUCGACUCAGGUGAGCUGGACCCUGAGAGGAUGGGCUCAGGCAUUCAGUACGGUGACGCUUCCCUUCGCCAGCUGCGGCAGCCUCGGAGCGCCCAGGCCGUGGCCCCUCAGCCCUGUGGCUGCUGAGACCUGUGGAGCCAGGGUCCCUCUGACUGCAUGUAGAGGAGAGACUGUGGGGGGCAGGAGGCCAGUGAGGAGGCCACUGCAAAGUCAAGCUCACCUGUUCUCCAGGACCAGCCCUGCCCUUCCGGCUGGGGCCCUGAUCCAGGCCCCAGGAGGCCAAGCCCCUCACCUGCUCUGGCCCCAGAGAAGCUGCCCCGCCACCUGACCCCCUUCCCUGGCCUGGUGGGGCCUGGCUGAGGGGCAAGACUGAGCCACAGGGGAAGGAGGAAUCCAUACCUGCUGCUGCUUCAUCUGUCUUGGCUAACCCUUGUCCCCCCUGAACCCCUAACCAUACUCGAAGAGUUCCCAAAGCCUGAGACCAAGGCCAUUUGGCCCCAGCUCCCUGCCUGGUCCUGGCGUUGCGAGUACAUGUUAUUUAUUACCUGGAGACCUGUCCCGUCCCCACCCCUCCCCCAUAAAGCAUUGUUUACACCUGU